UUGUUCAGACUGUACGUGCGGCCAAAUCCUCACGCCUGCCGCGUGCUCCUGCCUAACAAUAAACAAUACCGAUAACCACUAACUUCACCCCCUCUGAUUGUAUGUGUGACCACCCUGUACUGACUGAUAAUUGUAAACUUCGUCCCCAGUGACUUUGAGACGUUUCUGUUGGACGUUGUAACGUGUCGUUGUGCCAAGGUAAACCAGACUGGUGUAAGUGUGAUGGUGUCUGCUUAAAUAUCAAAGAGAAUUCGUCUAACAUAGCCCCUCCUACCUUAAGGCAUGCCUGGUCCAGAGAAUUAGCAUACCUAUCCGGAUGGUUAACACAAAACCAGUAAUUAGUUAAGAUAAAACGAUCUUUACAUGUCUAUGACUUCUUGAAUCCAGAGU